rnacentral:rRNA from 1 species
UACGGGGGGGGCAAGCGUUGUUCGGAAUUACUGGGCGUAAAGGGCGCGUAGGCGGCUCUUCAAGUCAGCCGUGAAAUCUCCGGGCUUAACCUGGAGGGGUCGGUUGAUACUGUCGAGCUCGAGUGUGGAAGAGGCAACUGGAAUUCCGUGUGUAGCGGUGAAAUGCGUAGAUAUACGGAGGAACACCUGCGGCGAAGGCGGGUUGCUGGGCCAACACUGACGCUGAGGCGCGAAAGCUAGGGGAGCAAACGGGAUUAGAAACCCCAGUAGUCC